rnacentral:rRNA from 1 species
AUGAGCCGCGGAUCGGGCGCGGGCUACGACCGCCACAUCACCAUCUUCUCCCCCGAGGGUCGCCUCUACCAAGUCGAGUACGCGUUCAAGGCGGUCAAGUCGGCGGGGGUCACCUCGAUCGGCGUCCGCGGCAAGGACUCCGUCUGCGUCGUCACCCAGAAGAAAGUCCCGGACAAGUUGCUGGAUGACACCAGCAUCACGCACCUCUUCUCGAUUACCAAGUACACCGGCUUGCUUGCCACUGGCCUCACAGCUGAUGCGAGGUCCUUGGUCUCCCAAGCAAGAAAUGAAGCAGCUGAGUUCCGUAAAAAAUGGGGAUAUGAGAUGCCUGUGGAUGUAUUAGCAAAAUGGAUAGCAGACAAAGCACAAAUAUACACGCAGCAUGCGUACAUGAGACCCCUUGGUGUUGUUGCCAUGGUCUUGGGUUACGAUGAAGAGAAAAAUGCUCAGCUCUUCAAGUGUGACCCCGCAGGUCACUUCUUUGGACACAAGGCAACUAGUGCCGGACUGAAGGAGCAGGAAGCAAUAAAUUUUCUGGAGAAGAAAAUGAAGGAUAGCCCGCAGUUCUCAUAUGACGAAACUGUUCAGAUUGCGAUUUCUGCAUUGCAAUCUGUUCUGCAGGAAGAUUUCAAGGCUACCGAGAUCGAGGUCGGUGUUGUGAGGAAAGAAGACCGUGUCUUCAGGUCACUCACGACAGAGGAGAUUGAUCAGCACCUAACAGCCAUUAGCGAGCGCGACUGA